UCAGCAGGUCACCUUAUCGCCGCGCCAAUGGUGCGGAGGAAAGUCCGGACACCAUAGUGCAGUAUAGCGGGUAACGCCCGUCCACCUAAGGGUGAGGACCAGUGCAACAGAAAGAAUGUACAGAUAAUGCUGUAGUGAAACCAGGUAAACUCUAUGCGGUGCAACGUCAUGUAAAUCAGUGUUUGAGGGUGCACGCCCGAGCUGAAGGGUAGGCGGUUAGAGCUUUUGGGUAACCAAGAGCCUAGAUAAAUGAUAGGGGCAUUCUAACGUAUUAGGAAGAAAUUCUGAAACAAGUUUAGAAUGAACAGAAUCCGGCUUAUGACCUGCUUUUUUU
rnacentral:RNase_P_RNA from 1 species